UACAGGGGGGGCAAGCGUUGUUCGGAAUUACUGGGCGUAAAGGGUUCGUAGGUGGCCACUUAAGUCAGACGUGAAAUCCCUCAGCUUAACUGGGGAACUGCGUCUGAUACUGGGUGGCUUGAGUGCAGGAGAGGGAUGCGGAAUUCCAGGUGUAGCGGUGAAAUGCGUAGAUAUCUGGAGGAACACCGGUGGCGAAGGCGGCGUUCUGGACUGCAACUGACACUGAGGAACGAAAGCCAGGGGAGCAAACGGG
rnacentral:rRNA from 1 species